CCUACGGGAGGCAGCAGUGGGGAAUCUUGCGCAAUGGGCGAAAGCCUGACGCAGCAACGCCGCGUGGGUGAUGAAGGUCUUCGGAUUGUAAAACCCUGUCGUUAGGGACGAAGACAUGAAUCCUAAUACGAUUCAUGUUUGACGGUACCUAGAAAGGAAGCCCCGGCUAACUCUGUGCCAGCAGCCGCGGUAAUACAGAGGGGGCAAGCGUUAUUCGGAAUUAUUGGGCGUAAAGGGUGCGUAGGCGGUUUUCUAAGUCAGAUGUGUAAUCCCCGAGCUCAACUUGGGAACUGCAUCUGAAACUGGGAGACUAGAGUACUGGAGAGGAUGGUGGAAUUCCACGUGUAGCGGUAAAAUGCGUAGAGAUGUGGAGGAACACCAGUGGCGAAGGCGGCCAUCUGGACAGUAACUGACGCUGAAGCACGAAAGUGUGGGUAGCAAACAGGAUUAGAUACCCUGGUAGUCCACACCGUAAACGAUGAACACUUGGUGUAGUGGGAGUUGACCCCCACUGUGCCGUAGCUAACGCGAUAAGUGUUCCGCCUGGGGAGUACGGUCGCAAGGCUGAAACUCAAAUGAAUUGACGG
rnacentral:rRNA from 1 species